CAAAAAAAUAACUAAGUGCGCAAUAAUUCUCCGUCAACAAAUAAAUCGUUGAACUAGUAUUAGUAUAUUGGCGUAUGUAAGCUAAUAUAGUCGUUGUUUGCGUAAAACGAAUUCAAAUGGCUCCCAAUCUGUGUUAAUACGUUAUGUUAUGUAUGAUAUAAGCACAUUGAACAUAUCGGGAUGAGUCAGUACUAUUUUAUUAUUAACAAAAUUGGUUAGAAUUGAAUAUGACAAGUUGAAGACUCAAUCAGCUAAGUUUUGUCAUAGAUCGGAUCGGAACAGGCGAUUAACAGUGUUGUGCUGAAGAAAAUAGACAACAAUAUGAUCAAUAGAAUCAACAUAUAACAAUUAAUCAUCAUUCAUCGAACGAAUGCAAGCUUCGCGAUUAAAUAACCGCGAAAGAUUUAGUGAACU